AAGUCGUAACAAGGUUUCCGUAGGUGAACCUGCGGAAGGAUCAUUAUCGAAUCUUUCUACGGAGUUGUAGCUGGCCCUGUAGUGGGGUAUGUGCACGCUCCGUGAAACCAUCUCUACACCCCUGUGCACCUUUUGUAGGGUCGGCGCGUUUACGUGCCUUCCCUAUGUACAUUAUAAACUCUUAUGAAUGUCUCAGAAUGUCAAUGCGUGUAACAACGUAUAUUAUACAACUUUCAGCAACGGAUCUCUUGGCUCUC
rnacentral:misc_RNA from 1 species